GAUGGAUAUGAAAUGAGAAGCAAAAUUGUGUCUGAAGAAAUGAGAAGCAAGAAGACAGUUAAAGGUUCUGUUACAAUUCGAUCUCAAGUAACAGUGGAUACAUAAUCAGAGAGAUCUGAAAGAGAUAACAUUAAUUUCGUCUGAUGAAAAAAGAAGCAAGAAGACAACUAAAGGGUCUGAUGGGUUACAGUCUGAAAAAUCAGGGGAUAUGCAAUCGGAGAGAUAUGAAAGUGACAAAAUUUUGUCCAGAGAAAUAAGAAGCAAGAAAACAUUGAAAGGUCAGUUAUCAUGCUCACCUAGCAUUAUGCACCAUAAAAUGAUCUUGGCAGACAAUAUAAUCUAGCAUAAAAUUAUAUACAACAAAUUAGAGAUUGUAGCGUUGAUAAAUUUUCAAGGACUAUAUAUCUAUAGUUAGUUACAGUGAGAAAUAACAAAAGUUACAUAUGUAACUACAAUACAUAUAGACUGUAACUGGGCUAAAACUGCAAGCAUGCUUGAAUUUCUUCAAAAAAUAAAGAAUUUCUUCAGAAAAGGAGUCACUUUGUCACAAUGGACUGAAGAUUUUCCUCAAGUGAAAAUCAUCUUCAGACAGUGGUGUUUAACAAAGCACAACAAUUAGAUUAGAGCCUAGGAUAAAAAAAACAGAGCAUUGUGGUCCAAACGGUCAUAUCUCCAGUUGUGUACAAAUUUGCCCAUAUAUUAAAUUUUGUACAUAAUUUGCACA